rnacentral:rRNA from 1 species
UGGAUCCAGACUUUGAUUCUGGCUCAGGACGAACGCUGGCGGCGCGCCUAACACAUGCAAGUCGAACGGAGAUUACAGGCGGAAGUUUUCGGAUGGAAGCUUGUAAACUUAGUGGCGGACGGGUGAGUAACACGUGAGCAACCUGCCUAUCAGAGGGGGAUAACGAUUGGAAACGAUCGCUAAUACCGCAUGACAUAGCGGAACUGCAUGGUUCUGUUAUCAAAGAUUUUAUCGCUGAUAGAUGGGCUCGCGUCCGAUUAGAUAGUUGGUGGGGUAACGGCCUACCAAGUCGACGAUCGGUAGCCGGACUGAGAGGUCGAACGGCCACAUUGGGACUGAGACACGGCCCAGACUCCUACGGGAGGCAGCAGUGGGGGAUAUUGCACAAUGGGGGAAACCCUGAUGCAGCGACGCCGCGUGAGGGAAGACGGUCCUCUGGAUUGUAAACCUCUGUCUUCGGGGACGAAACGAGACGGUACCCGAGGAGGAAGCCACGGCUAACUACGUGCCAGCAGCCGCGGUAAUACGUAGGUGGCAAGCGUUGUCCGGAAUUACUGGGUGUAAAGGGAGCGUAGGCGGGCAGGCAAGUCAGGCGUGAAAUAUAUCGGCUCAACCGGUAACGGCGCUUGAAACUGCAGGUCUUGAGUGAAGUAGAGGUUGGCGGAAUUCCUAGUGUAGCGGUGAAAUGCGUAGAUAUUAGGAGGAACACCAGUGGCGAAGGCGGCCAACUGGGCUUUUACUGACGCUGAGGCUCGAAAGUGUGGGGAGCAAACAGGAUUAGAUACCCUGGUAGUCCACACCGUAAACGAUGAUUACUAGGUGUGGGGGGACUGACCCCUUCCGUGCCGGAGUUAACACAGUAAGUAAUCCACCUGGGGAGUACGGCCGCAAGGUUGCAACUCAAAGGAAUUGACGGA